GAUGAACGCUGGCGGCGUGCCUAAUACAUGCAAGUCGAGCGAAUGGAUUAAGAGCUUGCUCUUAUGAAGUUAGCGGCGGACGGGUGAGUAACACGUGGGUAACCUGCCCAUAAGACUGGGAUAACUCCGGGAAACCGGGGCUAAUACCGGAUAACAUUUUGAACAGCAUGGUUCGAAAUUGAAAGGCGGCUUCGGCUGUCCCUUAUGGAUGGACCCGCUUCGCAUUAGCUAGUUGGUGAGGUAACGGCCAACCAAGGCAACGAUGCGUAGCCGACCUGAGAGGGUGAUCGGCCACACUGGGACUGAGACACGGCCCAGACUCCUACGGGAGGCAGCAGUAGGGAAUCUUCCGCAAUGGACGAAAGUCUGACGGAGCAACGCCGCGUGAGUGAUGAAGGCUUUCGGGUCGUAAAACUCUGUUGUUAGGGAAGAACAAGUGCUAGUUGAAUAAGCUGGCACCUUGACGGUACCUAACCAGAAAGCCACGGCUAACUACGUGCCAGCCGCCGCGGUAA
rnacentral:rRNA from 1 species